CUUUCUCUAGGUUGAAAGAAUACUUAGGGCAGAAGGAG
ncrna:Exiguobacterium chiriqhucha L31-Firmicutes ribosomal protein leader